AUACUUUAUAUGGUCGGAAACGCUUCCUUCUGCCUGUUACAUACUUUUCAACGAAUCUAGUAUACCCUUUUACUCUACGAGUAACGGGUAUAAUAAGACACAUGAGCGUCAGCGAAAUAUGUACUUCAUUUUUUUUCAGUGUAGUGCAGAGGCCAAUCAGUUGUCUUGGCUUCUUCUUUGCUGGCGAAUAAACAAGCCAAAAUCAGAAAAAACGACAGCGCGCCGAAAGACGCAAACAUUUUUGGACUGCAAACUUUUUCACUUUUCGCCUCGGUUCGUUUUGUAUUUUGCGCUGGUUUAUUUUUUAUCGCUAUUCGCAUUUCAUUUUGAUAAAUGGCGCUCCGCCCCCGGCGUCCUUGUCGAGUGGGCGUGUCAGCCAAAUGCCAGCCCAUUAAGCCAACUUGGCUUCAAACGUUUCAACUGAUUCAAGUGACCCAAAAUGAUUUCGGUUCGAACAGCGCCGUUCAGUGUGCAAUUUAAUUACUGUUUAUGCAUAAUGAUCGUUAGUUUUGCCUAAUUAAGCACCACUUGCACGACACCGAUAACAUUUUGCGAUACAACGAAACUAUUUUUGGGGCCUCUCCACCUGUCAGUCGACGUUAGGCAACACCUCAAAUUGAAAUCGAAUGAAAUUGCAUUUGGAUGGGACAAUAAAUUAUGCAAAUCAAGCAAUUACCUCGCCUGGACUCGCUCGUUUUUCGCAAUUCGUUUUUCGAGAGAUGCAAGGUAGCUCCAUUAGUCGGACUUUGUCACCUGUCAGGCUGUGUUCAGGACAUGCAGGGCAAAAACAUUUACCAAUUUGCAUAAAAUUUGUAUACUCAUUUGCUAAAUUCACAAAUUAAUUGCCGUCACACUGGCACACUACCACACUUGCACAAUUGCACAUAUGCACACGUUGCGCAUACGCCGCGUGGGCGGCCAGUAAAUUUACCACUGCCUAAUGAGCCAGUGACCAAGUCAACCGCACAUGCCGAUAGUUAUUGAAAGUUGGAGAGCAAAACGAUGCAAUCGGUAACCAAACUUGGCAGCCGCCACUCGAGCAUUAAAUUUCGAUCGAAUCGCAGAGCUUUCGUUUUUGGGUUUGCACAGGAAAAAACUACGCAUAUGCCACGAAAUUCAAUUUAAACGGCUACCGAAGAUAAUAAUUUUCCCACAAUUUACUCCUUUUUAAGCAAACAUGAAUAACUACUGGUUAGCUAUUUAUGGCUGAAAUCAUAAUUCAGGUCUAAAAUGCUGUGGCCAUCCUUAUUUUGUUAGUAAACCAAUUAGGUAAAUUACUAUUACUAAACAAGUUUUCUACACUUCGUGUGUCGGAAGCUCGGUCGGUCUGGAACUUAAGCCAAUGCUAAGCCACUGCUUAAAUAUAAGGUAAACACCACCAAUUAAUUGGAGCAGCAGUGAUUUUAAGCUGGCUGUCACCUGCUGGGCGUCCCAUUCAAGGAGAACCGCCUCGAAAUGUAAUUUCCUGAAUUGCAGUUUUGAAUACACAAUUCGCUCGUUCAAUGGGGCUGUUCCACGGCAGACGAAGUGCUUAUUGGAGUGACUGUGGAGGACUGUGGAGAACUGUGGAGCCGUAAAGGACCUUCCCCCGACACACACACAUACACGAACACACACACUGAAACACUCACUCAGAAAAGGACUCUGAAUGCUCGAGUGGACAGGUAAUGGAAGCUGUCAGAAACUGCGACAUCACCGCUGUCAGUGGCUUGGUUUUUUGUAUUUUUUGUGUUAUUCCCGGGCAAACAAAGAGCGGCGAAGGAAAAUAAUAUGAAAAUGCGUGGAAGAAAAGAUGAAACUUAUUUGCCCAGCCGUAUGCAAAUUUAUUCACUUGGACGCAAAUAAUACAAUUUCAAUGGCAUUAAUGAAAACAAUUUUCAUAAAUGAGUGAAACCAACAAAAUGCGACAGACGUUCAACGAGCCGCAUCGAAUUUGGCUGCAUGCGAAAGUAGCUUAAUAUUUAAAUGGCAGACACUUCUUUCCGUACUUUUUCUUUUUGCGCCAGUUCAAAUUUUAUUUUGCAACUGAAUGAAUAUUAUAUAUAUAUAUUAUGGAAUUUCAUUUAUAAAAAUAAGUUCCACAUUCUCAACUACUUUUGUUACAAUAAAUAAUCAAAACGUAUCGAAUUUUUUGAAUAUUUUAUAACUAUGACUAUUCUAAAUAAUAUUUUGAUUAUCUGCUCCCCUUGCUCAUUAAUAAAUCAGACAAACGAGUAAUUAAAAUGAUGGUUUAAUUGGUGAUUUAGUUUCAUAUAUCAUGUUGUGCGACUAAGGCACGAACUAAUUUAUAAUUAUUAAAAUAUGACAUCGUGUUUAAUUUGCAGCAUUUAAAUGAUGUAUUGAGCAAUAAUUAAUAACUAACUAUCAUGGGUCUUUAAAUUAAUUUCAUAUAUAUUUCUAUCUGUGUUUUAACUUUUUUUGGUUAGUGACCAAAGUUGGACACUUAAAAUUUUUCAGUUCUCGACGCGGCUGCAAAGUUUGCAGACGAAUAUUGAACGGCAGUCGGAUUAGAAGUGGGUGAAAAUGGAUGGAAAUGGAAAUGGAAAACUGCAGCUCAUUGGGGCGUUUAUGGGCGCUUUGGCGUAAUUUCUAUUAUUUUCCAUGGCCGACUGUGGCGCACUCAAAAAGCAAACAAUUAAAUGUCCAGACUGCGCCCGUGGGCAUGCUGUGAACAGAACAAAUUGAGGUCAGAACGGGUAAAACAGUUGGCAGGCAGGCUGGCGGGCAAGCAGGCGGAGGCAAGGGGAAAACCCAAACAACAGUUAAAAGAAAAUUGGCUACCACAAAAUGAAGUCGACUGGGAGCUGGAGAGCUCAAGGCUGGAUCCGAGCUCUGAAGCUGAGCCGAGAACCCGAAGACCAAAGACCAUAGCCCAGAGAAGCUGGAAAAGCGGAAAACUGGGACCUGGCCAUGGCCACACGCCAAACACUUGUAUUUUGGGGUCAUAAAAGCAGGGGAAAAUUGUGCUAAUUAACCCUAAAAGAAAGCUUUUCCCAGGCGGGCGUGUGUGUGUGUGGGGCUUUGUAUUUUCCCCACACUUCGCUCUCCAGUGAGAGUGCAUUUAAAAUUAUUUUGCACAUUAUUGCCGCUCAUUGUUUUUAUAACCCAAUUAUUAUACAACAAACUGUGCGGCUGCUUAGAGGCCUCGUCUGUUGGCAAUGCGAAAAUAGCUUUUAUUACUAUGCUGUUACUCGGUGCUGUCAAGUGGCUAUAACACGCAUACGACACGUUGCCCGGCCCAAGAGCACCGAACAACAACAGUCCAAAUAUGAGUAAUUAGCCGUAAAAAUACAAACAAUAUAAUAUUUAGCAUGUGAUUACAGGUUGCUAUCGUUAUGAUAGCCCAGCUACAACAAUGAAUCACAAACAAUUUGCCGACUAACAACUUUUAAUGUGUGUUGGCAGCAGCAAAAUAACACCACACACGCACGCACACACACACCACAUUCAGGCCCCCACGAAAACAAACAAAGGUCCUAUGCAAAAACCCAAAGCAAACCAAAUUCCGGAAAAGAAACCGUACACCCGGACAGCAAAACACCUAAGCAAACAGCACGUGGUCCCUGGAUGCCCCUUAUAUUGUUUUUCGGCAGGAAAAACAGAGCCGAAACUGAGGUCUUUAAUAAUUUCACUUGAUAGUUCCUCGGGGGAAACAGGAGGAAAGGCACGUAUAUAAAAUGCUUAUGCCGGGAAUUACUAUCAAAAAGGCAUUAGGCAACCAUAUGCGGCAACGAUAAAUGCGAGCAACUAAAUUUAAAUUUAAGCGGUUGCCAGGCACCCGCCACCUACAAAACAACGGGGAAAGCAGUUACACUUGAGUACACCUGGAAAAAGGCCUUUUAUAAUUAGUGAAGCUCUAUGGUUCGGAGUUUAUAUUAGGUGACUAAAUACAUACAAUUAUAUUUUUAACAGAAAUCGCUCCAGUUCGUAGAUCAAGUGCCUCCAGGUGUUUGUGUACUUUAAGCCACACUUAUAGGUUAUUUCCUUUCUUAAAAAUACAACUGAUAAAUAUUUUUUGCCGUGCCGUUCGACGUUGGCAGAUAGGUAAGACAUACGUGUGCACUCAGCGGAUGUGCGUGUUUGGCAGCUGACUGGCUGCCACCUCGCCCCCAACUCUGCAACUUCCUAAUGCCGCAAAGUCAUUUGGCGGCUUAUGUUGCGCCUUUCGCGAGCGACCGACAAACAAACAGUAUUGAGUUAAGGUGAAAAAUAUGCAAAAGGCAAACAGCAGCGGUGAAAAACAAAACCGAAAAACGGAAACGGAAGUGGGAGGGGAAGGGGAAAGUCGACGAGCAAAAGAAUCGCACGCACAACGCAACUUGCCGCCGAUCAUUUAUAAUGCGUUUGCGUUUGCGUUGGCACAACACGGCGUAUGGGUAACGCGAUUUUGCCCCAGAAGCCCAUAAGUUGUAUUUGGUGUUUGUUGUCACUGCUGCGUGCGUGGUUGCCAUUAGCAGAGGUUCGUUUAACGCCUGGCUAAAUAUCCUUGUGUUGUCCUGCAGACAGUUGAACGCCCGAUUCUCUGGAUUCUCAGAAUCAAAUAAGCAGACUGUAUUAUUUUCAGCAAAUAUUUUUCUAGCUAAAUUCAAUUAAAUGAAUACAAUUUCUAUUGGAGCGCGUGCCAGCAUCGAUAAUUUAAUAUAAUUAUCAGCAGACCAGGUGCAAUUUAUUGAUCAAUUUAAAAUUUUUCAAAAUUAGUUUUAUGUAUGCUUCGAUUAGGCAACAUACUAAAAUUUAUUGGCCAGUACGAAAUAAUGGUUUAUUACGCUUGAAUUAAAUUUAUUUAUUUAAUGGCAAUUAAGCCUAUCUAGCGAAAAUGAUAUUUCUCCAAAGGCAGUUAUAAAAGCAUAUAUUUAAAGAGUCGGAAGCGUAUUUAUAUAUCCACUUUUCAACUCAUACUUCUUCCCCUUGGCUUGCUGCGCCUGCAGAGCUCAUAAAUAGACCCUCUCGAGUUUCAGCCAUCUGCAACGCCAACGCGUUCGCGCCUUUCCUCGACACUUCGCCCACGCUUCGAGGCCAAGAUAAAUUAAUUGGUUUUUUAUUUAUGACGCGAAUGGAUGGAUGUGGGGCACUGACACCCGACAUCGCUGCCUUCUGGGUACUUUGCCAAAUUGUCGCUGCUCGAUGCUGUUGAUGUGUGAAAGGCGCUUCUGCUGCCUCGUCCUUUCGAUUCAUUGCCUACUAAUUGAUUUACGCCCAGACGGUGGCUGUCAUCGAUUGAUUGGGAGCAACAAACUGCUGACCUGGUCCCUGGCCCACCAUCCACAGUCCACAGUCCACUGUGUUCAGGGCCAGAUUAAAGACAUCCAGUAGCUGCGCCAGCUGCCUCCGACAAUUUAUUAGCAAAUGUAAUGAGCAGAGUUUAUUAGCCGACCGGCUCGUGUUUGCGUCUAAUUGAAAUUUACAUGCACACCGGACAUUCCAGCAUAUCCUGACUGCCAUUCACCCGACCACACCCCCCACCCCUCCCCACGUGUGCGUGUUUGUGUAGGCAGUGCAAACAAUUGUCAUCAUUAAAAUAACGGCAAGGAUGCACACACACACACACACACACGCUGUUCAUGAGCAUCGCUCAUGUGCAUCUGCAGAACAAUAAAUAAAGACAAUUUGCAGCUGCAAUUAUUAUGAGAACCGAUAAGCCAGCUAAGCAGUUCAACAUGUGCUUCACAUGGGGCCAUAGAAGCAGGCGAAUGCACAUAAUCCCCCAUAUAUUUCUAUGACAAAAUCUGGGUCACAGUGUGCCCGGAAAUGUUAAGCAGUUUCUAGCAUGGUUCAACCAAUAGCCACUUAAUAGCACGCACAGAAAAAAUUACUGACUUACAAAAUAUUCCUUAAAUGAAUGCCUAGGUUUUUUCUUUAUGUGUACUUUCCCAUCAACUGAUGAAACUGCAGCUUUAAGUUGUCGCCAUAGACAGCUAACUCGAUUCGUAUGGCCAAACGGGCUGCGUUCAACUUCAAAGUGCCUCGAAUUAGUCGACAGAUGCACAAUUAUUUAAGGCCUGUCUGGGAGAAAUGUUAAGUGCUCUGUGGUUCGAGAUGGAGAACUUUGAGUGCCAGAAGUCUGGUCUGUGCCGAAUUGCAGGUGAGCUUGGCAUUGGCCCGAGAUCUUGUGGCCUUUGCCUGUGGCCGACCAAUUUCGAAAACCAAUUUGGCCGAGACCAGGGAAAUUCCUUUGGAUAUUCUGGCAGAUGCAUAAGGUGUCGUAGCAGCUGGAGCAGCAGCACAUAUGACCAUUCGGUGUCAUUAGCACAAAGCUAAAGCUGGUCACAAAAAUUAGACUAAUGAAAACGAAUGGAUAUCUAGACUAAUCCAAUUCCUGUCACCUUAUUUAUAGACACAAAGGAAAUAGAGCGCCGAAAAAAGGCAUUGUCAUUGGCGA